CCGAAUAACAACAGGAAGUUAAAAAGGGAGGGAAUUAGUUGGCAGUGCGCGACAACGUUGUGCAACAGACAUUGUGUUUUUGAGGAAAAAAAAUUGUUAUUCAUAUUAUUUUUAAAACAUUUUUAAAGCCUCAUUAUGUCGGGAAGAGCAGGUGGGAAAAAGAAGCCACUUAAACAGCCAAAGAAAGACAGAGAAGAAAUAGACGAUGAUGAUGCUGCCUUUAAACAGAAGAAGAAGGAGGAGCAGAAGGCUUUGGCUGAAAUGAAAGCAAAGGCUGCCCAGAAAGGACCUUUGACGGGAGGUGGCAUAAAGAAGUCUGGGAAGAAAUGACAGUGGCUACAAUCGUUAAAUCAUCCAUGUUCUUACUUGUUGUUGAUUACGCCCCAGCUGAAGACGUCUUGCUUUGUGACAGUUUACAUCUGACUUAUGUUGAAAGUUAACAUGUCCAUUACACCUGAUGAUAUUAAGCUGCCAUUACUGUUGUAUUUCACUGUCAGGUUGCUUUCAUUUAAAUGUUGCAAAAAUGAAAGUUCGAGACAAUAAAAAUUAUUUUAAUUAAAA